AACUAAUGACCUUUUGCACUGCUAAUGCAGUGCAUCACCACUGAGCCACAGGAACAACAUAAUAGAAGUGUAUUCCGGUUAUCAUAAUAAAAGAAGUGUAUUCGGGUUAUUGUACACAGUGCUUAUUGUUUAACUAUAACUAAAGCUAAAAAAAAUAAUAAUUCUUACAAAUGUCUAUGUAAAUAAAAUGCAAAAUAUGAAUCAAUACAAUAACAGUAUUUAAACAGUACUAAAGUAACACUCAUAUAAAUAGCAGUUUUAACUAUAUUUGAAUAAAUUAGUAAAUACAUACAAAAUAUAUAAGCAUUAUGUCCUUGACACAAAAUUCGUAGGUUUAUUCGACUGAAGAGAUGACCGAGUCAUGCAGCUACAUAGCACAGCAAGCAACGUAGUACUCGUUCCUGUACAGAGGUUACGUUACUCGUACUGCAUCUUGUUAAGACGCUUUGGGAACACAGUACAUUCAUCCUGUGCUAAAGUAGUUGAAUGACUAAAAGUAUCAAACUUCCAUAAGCAAUCAAAGCCCAAAGAGGAGUUUACAACAACCCAAGGCUAUGAUGGGCUGAGCUUCUUGAGGUCACACCCUGCCUGGUUAAUCGUUCCAGAAUUCGACACCCAGGGGUUGAGAGCUAACAGGUGAACUAAUGCCAAAUAUACUGAGCAUGAUGGGGCCAAAGCAUCUCUGCCAGAUCUAUUUACGCAGUGCGUUAUAAAAUCUUAUGAAUGUGGACGGCGAGGCCCAGUAGGCUGCCUCACAAAUAUGCCAAAGACGAGGCGUUGUCUCUGGUUGAGUGGGCCCAUACUCCAAUGGGGCAUUGUAGGCCCAAAGAAGAGUACGCUAGUGAGAUGGAGCCAACUAUCCAUCUAGAGAGUCUGUGCUUCGUGACCGGAAGACCUUUGGUGUGGUUACCGAAGUUGACAGAGUUUUUCAGACCGCCCAGAACACUCAUUGUAGAUUGUCAGAGCUCUAACAGGGCAGAGCAGAGAUAACUUUCUCUCCUCUUCAGAAGGAGGAAGCAUAAAGAGCGUAAUGACCUGUGCUCUGAAUGAAGUGGAGAGCACCUUAGGUAGGUAAACACGGCUUGGUUUCAGGACAACUUUAGAGUCAUUAGGCCAGAAUUCCAGGCAGGCAGGGCUAAUGGAGAGGGCCUGCAGGUCCCCUAUUCGCUUUACUGAUGCCAGUUCCAUAAGCAGGACAGUCUUUAGCGAUAGCAAACAAAUGUUGGCAGAAUAGCGGCUCGAAAGCGGGGCCCUCAGCACAGUGGGCAGAUCCCCUGAAAGCACAGUAGGGGGACGAGGCGGAUUCAGCCUCAUGACACUCUUUAACAACCGGAUAACUGUGCCGUUGUUUUUCUUUCUUUUUUUUUCCUUCAAAUGUGCUGCUCUCAGCGAGUGUAGGUUUAGUUGAACACAUUCCAGGAGGCGCUCUACCAGAGUGACGAGAUGCUUCAAGAAGAGGCCUCCCUGGCCAUUUAUGUAUUACACCACAAACAUGUUGUCCGACUGGAUUAGCACAUGGUGCCCUUUUAGGAUUGGCAGGAAGAAUCGACAGGUUCAACAUACUGCUAGCAUUUCCAGGCAGUUGAUGUGGAAAUGUGGUACCAAUCUCGAAGGAGGACUAGCCUCCAUAUGGCCAGAGCCUGUUCCGGCAUGACUACAGCUCUCAUUUGGGCUCAGUAGAAAAUUGUUUCCAGGAAUGAUUUUCGCUGGCUGGGGAACAACGAGCUUUCGGCAAAAUUGACCCAGAGUCCGAGGAUAUUAAUUGUCUUAUUGCGGGCUAGCACGAGUCAGUCGUCGAGGUAGUUGAGAAUGUGGAUUUCCAUCUGUCUCAGAGGGGAGAGAGCCACAUCCAUGUACUUUGUAAAAGUGCGAGGGGCAGGGACAGCCCCGAAGGGAAGGAACAUAUAUUGAUAAGCAUCUAAAGUGGGGACCACGCAACUGAAGCGCAGGGGUCUUCAUGCGAAGUGGAGUGAAUAUCGUUUUAUUAUCCCCAUAGCCAAUCUCACCCCAAACCAAUCAUCCAGCCUGGAAGGUUCAGGAUGCGGUGGAGGUUUCCACUCUAACCAGCUCCGCUGCUGAGCCAUUGGUUUGUUUUUAAUACACUGCAUGAACCAAUGACCAUGCAGUUUCACUGUGUGAUUGAAAAAAGGCUUUAGUUCAGGAGGAAAAAAAUUUUUUUCCCAAAGCGUCUUAGCAAGACACAGUACGAGUGUAGUAUGGAAAGGGAACUUUAACACCACCACUCUGCAUGACCAAAAAUCACAUCACCUGAUGUGUGCCAGUCUAACACUUGCCCUUUUAAGAUGCAAGUGUAGUACAAUUUGACCCUGACCCUACUUCCAAAGGGCAUUGGACAGCUAAUUAAUGUCCAUCUCCAUGCUGGUAAAGAAAUAAUUAUGCAUUAGAGUAGGCAAAGGUUUUUCAGUGAUACUUAUCCAUUAUUAAUCCUGAAGCCAUUACACAUUUUGUCCACUGCACACAUUUGGGUGCAACAGCACCCCAGCAGGCAAUAUUUUAAUCUUCCACGUCUACUCUUUGACUAAGAGUAAUGUUGAAGGACAGGGACGUAAGGGCGAGCUAUGCAUCUAAUCGAAUGAUGGAAAUACACGCCAUUCAUUAUUAUAGUGGAGCCCAUAAUAGAUCAAAGUACUAGAAACAUGCCGCCACCAAAUGCGAGCGCUUGUCUGGCAUCUGAAAACCUGCCCAAGUGAAACAACAGCCGCCUUUUUCUUCAUCAAAUCCCUUAAAUCAUUUUUCUCAAUGCUCCGCCAGCAUGUUGUUGAAUCUGCCCUGCAUAAUCUUUGCUAAGCUGUUACCUUUGCCAUUUCCACUGCAGCCCGAGUACAUGUGGUUAAACAGAAGGUAGCAUGAUUGGCUAUGUUUGUUCAAAAAGCUAGUUUUAAACACAUGUGAAAUACUAAGUAAUGUAGCCUACAUGUUAACUUAAAUUUAAAUUAUUAAUAAAACAAAUUCAAGAGAAGUUUAAAAAAAAAAAUCCAAGAGAGGUUUACUGAAAUGUUAUGCAAAUUAUUUGUGUGUAAAUAUUUAUUUAUUUAUGUGUAUGUAUGUAUGUAUGUGUAUGUUUGGAGAACACCUGAUAAAAGUUCAGAGACUAUUCCUUUUUCCAGAAUCUCUCCAGAUCCUACAGAUUCACAUCUCCAUGUUAGUGGUGCUUCUCUUCAGUUCAACACAUUGUUUAUUUAUUUUUUUCUAUAGAGUUGAGGUCAGAAGACUGGGACAGCAAUGGCAGAAGCUCCAUUUUGUGCUCAGUGACCGAUUUUUGUGUUCAUUUUAACGUUUGUUUUGGAAUACUCUCCUGAUGGAAGAUCCAAACAUGGUCCAUUAUAAGAUUUCUAACAGGGGGAGGUUUAGAUUUUUAUCUGUUGGUAUUUGAUAUAAUCCAGGUUUCCAUGCAUCUGAAAAAAAUAUCCAGGACCUCCGGCAGAAAACAGGCCCACAACAACAUUAAAGAUCCAACAGUAUAUUUAACCGUGCAAAUGGGGUACUUUGUAUCCCUGUUUGUACUAAACCCAUCUGGUGGGUUUGCUGCCAAAAAGCUCUUUUUUUUUGUUUCAUUUAACCAUAGAAGCCAGUGCCAUUUGAAGUUCCAGUAUUGUCUGACAAAUGAAUUUGCUGGAGUUUGUUUCUGGAUGAGCAAGGAUAAUAUUUCUUGAAACCCUCACAAACAACAUGUGCUGGAUGGAGGGGCUGUUUGAUUUUUUUAUUAUUAUUAUUUUUUGAUCCUUGGAGAUUCUUUAGCCACUCAAACUCUCCUCAUUCACUGUGCAUUAUGACGAUAUAGACACAUGUCCUCUUCCAGGCAGAUGUAUAACAUCUUUAGUUGAUUGGAACUUCUUAAUUAUUGCCCUGAUGGCGGAAAUGGGGAUUUUCUCUCUUUUCUAACAGCAACUUUCCAUUUUGUGAAGCUCAACAGUCUUGUUCUGCACAUCACUUUUCACAAAGCUGCGCCGGCACACUGUUGAACCUGCUCUGCAUAAUCUCCACUAAGAUUUCACCUUUGCCUUUUCCUCUGCGUUCUGAGUACAACAUGUGAUCAUACAGAGGGCAGCUUGACUGGUUGCGUUCGUUCGUGUCUCUCAGAGUAAUCUUCCUCUAAUACACUCAUCCUCAUUGAUGUCCUUUGUUUCUGGAUUGCGCGGUUUCUUGUUUUGCCUCCCUACUUUCUCUGUAACGUGUCAACCUAUUGUGUACAACAUAGAAUUUCCAAUUUGUACUAUGGGAUGAAAAUGUAGGCCACAACAUGAAAGCUGUAUCAUCUCAAUGCCAGGCAGCCCGUUAGCGAAUCACGCUCACCUCCUGUUUAUACUGAUUUGAAGAGAAUAAAUAGGGGGAAAGAACAUCAAAAUGCAAUAACAGGGCAGCACUGGACACAGGUGAGUAAUCAGCUUUCAUGUAUACGUCUUUCAUGAUGAGAUUGUAAGGUACAUCUAAACGCAGUCUUUGGCUCUUUUAGCUCAGACGGACUGAAUGCAGCACGUUCACCACGAAUGCAUUCAGAAUUACACAUUAAGAGGCUUUUAUUCCUGUGGCUUCAGGAGAGAGACUGCAGGCGCCGCUUUUAGCUCAUCUGACAGAGGGUGAGGGUUAGUGUGCUUGUAAUGAUCGAAGUGUUAAUGUGUGAAAUUUAAUUACACCGUCAUUGGGACAUUCAUCCCAAAGUGCACAGCGCUCGGCGUACACUGUCGGAGUAAAAAAGUACAAAAAGACAAGUUGCUUACAAGGCUAUCUACAGUCAGUCUGGCAGACUGUCAUAUUAGCAGUAGCGCAUUGAAUUAGAAUAUCAAAACAGCGCAAAAAUGCCUUGUACAGCUAAUUGCGUGUUUAUACAAGUUGCUAGCAAAUAAACAAACAAGAAAACAGAAAGCAUGCCCUCAUUAAAAAGAAAAUAAUUGGCAUGGUGUCAUGUUAUUUUAAAACCCCAUAAAGGUCACAUGAGGUCAGCCACCUUGAAUAGGCCAAACUUUUCAGAUAGAAGAAUAGUAAUGCAAAGUAUCUGUUAAUUUGAGAUUUGAGCAGGAUUGGGCGAUAACUAGACAGUCUUUUAGUAGUGUGACAGUAGGUCAGAUGUUUUCAAAAUUCUAGUGAGUUCCACUAACAAGCUGUUUAAGGUGAAGUGAUGUGGAGUGAAAAAUUGUUCUUUAUAAUUUCUACAUACUGCUGUUUAUCACUAAGUUUUGAAUAAUUUAUAAUGUCAACCUAAUUUAGAUCCUCAGUGUUUCUCUGGAAGAUAGAUUCUGCUCUGCACACUUUAAGGAAAAGAUACUAGUUUUAUUAUUAAAGUUAAAUAAAGUGAUGUAGUGUAGGCCCACCUGAAAGCAACACCCUAGUACCCCCGACCACAAAACCCCAUUAUUUCCUUUGGCAUUUGGUUUAUUGCAGAAAAAAAGAAAUAA